UCCAUAUACGUACUACUACAUUACGUACUAAUACAUUAGAAGCUUUCGCGUCGUAUCGCGCCGCUUUGUCUCAAUGAGGACGCGGGGUUAGUUAAUUUCUGAAAUCCCUAUUUUAGGUCUCACUUACAGAUUGAUGAGUUAGAUGUAUUGAGAGAUGUAGUAAAAUUGAUCAAUAAUAUUUUUCUAUUGUUUGUCUACCUAACUUAACACAAAAUUAGUUUUCAUAUUUAUCAAAGUUAACCCAAAUAAGUAGGAAUGAAAAUAAAUUUUCUAUAAAGUUAUAUACUUCAACUAGAUUUUGUCAUUGUAAUUCAAUGUAAUACAUUUCCCUUGCGUAGUAAAGAGUUUCGGGCGUGCCUCAGAUUCACCAAACGUGCCCUACGUUAUACCUACGUGGUCUAAUAUUUCGAAAUUGUAUUCUUUGUUAAUAAUAAUGAAGAUCUGCGUCGUUUCAUCACAGUUUGCUCGUUGAAUAAUAACGUCCGGUUGAAUGAACCAUUGCAUUUGUCCUUGUUUUCUGUGAUUUUCCACAGAGGCGUGCCGCGGCACGUGCUAGGUACUCUUGUAUACAUCUCAUUCCUCAUGCAAGCUAAUACAAUAAAUUAUUGCUUGACAGAACAUGACUGUUCUAACAACUGCGCAGAUGCAUAUAGGUGGAAUAGAAUUCAUUAUUAUAGAUGACUUCAGAGGUGUUAUAUUAAAAUUCUGUGUUCUGGUUCAGAGAGCCUGGAUUUUAUUCUCGAGGCUUAGUGUUUUCAGUCGAUUUCAAUAAUAUUUGUUGUGAUUUUGUUCGAUGUUUGAGUUUGUUCAUCGGGUUACUAUCGAGUGUCAAUUUUGAAUUUUUAUGUGCAGAUAGAUAAAGAUCGCAUUUCUUCAUCAUUCAGUAGAUAAACAACCUAGAACGUAGAAAACCAGGCCAAAGAUUUUUUUUUGAAAAUCUUAGAUAUUUUUUUAUGGUAUGAGCCUGGAAUCCGGACUGCUGUUUCAAGCCUCUUUGUUCAGUUCAUUAGAGUCACAUUAUAGUGGUUUAGAAGAAUCUAAGAACACCAUAUUUAAUUUGACAGUUCUUUUGUCGUGUGCCUAGUCAAAUACUGAAUCUAUUUUUAGUGAGAAGGCUAUAUUAGAUCGGAUUUAGUUACUCUAACACUAAAAAGAAUGGCAUCUGAUCCAAUGUAAUUAAUUCGACACAGCCUCAAGGCGUCCGCGAGAGUCGCUUAGUAGACCAGUGGAACAUAAUUCUGUUAUGUUUUUAAUACGGUUAUUUUUUUGCUGGUGACCUGGAUCAUGUCCAGUGGAGCCCUUUAUUUGGUGCAGAACAGCUGGCAUUUACAAUAGCAACGACCCUAAAUAAAAUAGCAAUUUAUAUUUGAAAGCCAGUAAAGUGUCGAACUAAGUUAGCAUUGCUUAAGUUGUUUAAUAUUGUAUAUUUGAACCAGCUCUUACCAAUUAAUUCUUCGGUUCUAACGUUGAUAUUAACUCUAGUAUUAUAUUUACAUUUAUGAAGAUGACUAACAUCUUCAUGUGUGAAAUUAAGUUAAAUGUAUGAUAACGUACUAGCAUAAUAUGCCCAUUAAAAUGCAAAUGGCAAUAAGCGUAAAUACUCACUCGUAAGCUUAUGGAAUAUUUAUUUAGUGGAACAUUUCUAUCCCAACGAGAGUUUUUUGCAUAUGUGCACUUUUGUGUUGGCCAUCCUAUACGAUGAGACAUUUCAAUGGUUUUGAAGCAUUGGUUGUCGAAUAGAAACACCUUUGCAACUUAAACUCUUGAAUACUCCUUAAUUUUGAUUGUUCUUCUCCACGUCUUUACCCCUUUCCAAAGUUUUGCUGCUCUCCUCGUUCCAGGUCCUGAUUUUUUUGAAACAGUUCACCACGUGGCUUGUCCUCGAGGCUGACCUUUGUCUUAUUUCUUUUUAAAUAUUCUUUAAUUUUGGUUUACUGCCUAUAAUAAAUCAACAAACCACCUACCCACACCCACGUAAUAAUGUGAAGAACAAUUGCCACUUGCAAAACCUACUCGCGAUGACCAUUCAACAACUGCGCAAGACACUGACCACACAUACAGAAUGUGAAAUGCACGCGGAUUAUAUGUCACUUUUCGUCAGAAGUUAGCAUUUUUGAGCUCGGCCAUUGACCCUAGCAUUGCGUAGGCUAGCUACUUUCUCUUGGUGCUGGGGCGAGGGGCGCGGUUGCGGAGGGGGUCCUGCCAAAUUAAGUGUGUGAAAGGUGCGUGCAGCUGUUCCGGCAACAAGGAGCUAUCCUGAUAACACAUCUCACCAAGCGGGACACUUAGAUUAUGUACCGAACGAUAGUGUUCCCAUCAACCCAUCUUCAAAAUCGGAAACCGCUGUUUAAUGCUUUUGAAAAGAAAAACUGAGAUUUAUUUUUAUAGAAAUAGUAAGUAUACAAAUAUGGGCAUUCAAUGUUGAUUUUAGGCGCUUGACAUUGUUAUGAAAUAAUAUCUCAAUAUUGAUGAGCAACGGUUCAGUGAACUCUUGUCAAACUAGUGGCCCAGUAACACGAACCCUGAUGUUGACGCUGCUAAGAGUUGUAUAAGCACUACGCUUUCUACUACUUCUUAUAAUCAGAAUAAGUAAAGAAGUGAACGGAGAAAUUGACAACAUUUAACGGUUGAGUAAAAUUGAAACAAUAAAACGAGUAAUGCCGGUUUCAGUUGAAAACCCCGUUCUCAAAAUUGUAGCUUUUACGAUACUCUACCAGUGAAUACGGCCAUUUUGUAAAUUGUAUUUUUGGUGUUUCGUAUCUAAGUGGCCGAAUCGUGAUGCGGAAUAUUACAUUGUCUAUAAUAAUAAUAAUAUGUUUCCUUUCCAGUAUUAGUCUAUAUUUAGGUUAUUUUUAUUCAUACUAUUUGAUUCUCUUUCUUCUUUCUCAUCAAAACGGAGCAGUGGAUUGAGUAGAUUUUUCUGAGUGUGGACAACAUCUAGUUAUAGAGCAUUCUGAUAAAGUUAUCAUAGUGUUCAGCGAAAAUAUUCUGUUAUAGCGUUUUAGUAGUAUGGCGCGGCGCCAGUGGGCAAUGUUGCAAACAAAAUCUUUGUGUGAAUACGACUCGCACUUUUACUAGGUAUAAACUAAAUAAAUUGAGUUAAAUCUUUCGAACAUGGCAUUUUUAGCUACAUGAUAUCUAUAAAUAACGGUGAAUUAAAUACCUGUAAAUAUUAAUUGAUCCAUCAACACCAUUUUUUGAUAUACAUUUAGAUAACUUGAUAAACGAUAAAUAAGUAAGUACAGCAAAUUAGUUUUAGGAUAUACCGUUCGAAUUAAAUACAGUUGUAAAACAAGAUAUAACUAACUGGUGUAAUUCAGGUUGUUUUAUAUUUGGUUCCGUAGAAAUAUGAUUCCUUGUUUUUUAUUUACGAAACUAGGAUUCUUACCCUCCUAUUGUGCGUAAGGGCACUUAUGACCGUGGUCACGCACGUUGCGUGCGCGCAACGCGCCGCGCCUUGCGUUACGAAAAACGCACCGUCGCCACAGGAAUACCAAUCGGGCUAAAUUGGGCGGCUCACAAAGGUCGAAGGCAAAAAUAUUUAUAGAAAUUGCGAAACAUCUACGUAAAAAAGAGUUGGCACAUUGGACGUGUCCGCGACGCAACGUUCUCUCUUUUGAAGGUUACGAAGCUGUGUGUACCGUUAAAACAAAACUGUCAUCAGUUAGGGGAACUAGUUCAACAAUGCCUUCAUAGAGUAACAGUUAUUGAAGUGCUGCUGUACUUUCUAAUUAUUUUCAGCGUAGUCUACGGCGUCGUAGUCGGGCGCUACGAGCGGCUAUGGCUAUGCGACGGCGGGCGGCUGCACUGCGCGCAGCGCAGCACGCAACCGGCCCAGCCCGUGCGGUGGCCGGGGUCGGCUGUUGUAUUUCUAGAGCAUUGAACCUCUGCAACCUUGUGCGUUGAGUCCGACCGCUCUCUGCGCGCUGACGCAACUGCACCAGCCCCUUCUCUACUCCGACCGCAACCAUAUCGCAUAAUUACUCCUUCAGGGCACACCUGCGUUCAUAAGAAUAGCCACAAUGAACAAUUUCGAUUCGCUGGAAGAUCUAACGAAGUUAAUUAGCGCCGUGGAGGGUUGCAGCGAACAAUGCAACGAGUCGGUCAAGAGGCGAGGCGAGGUGCUAGGCGGCGGGGUACUAACGAAUCUCACACUCUGCAAAUAGUCCGCGAGAAGUGCGAAAUGAUCGCGGGGCUACAAUUGGUCGAGAGCGUUGCGUGGUGACGCUUACGUAAACCGCUGACAUAACCGAGUCGACGACCGCCGCUUGCGCAAUCGCUGCCGAACCCGCAACCCCACACCUCACCACCGCUAUUCCCCACCAACGCGAAAAUUACCUAAUUGUGCCCAAAAUGCAUCAAAAGGACACUGCUCCAACGCCCGAGUUACGAAACGCUAUCAUUAAUACAACAACCUUCUGCCUAGCUCCAGAAACCGCAUCGCGGAUGGAUUGAAGACUGAAUUGUGUUUAUGAACGUGACGUAUGUGAUACAGUUAUCCUUAGAAAACGAAAGUGAUAACUAAAUGCGGGUCCGGUCAUCGACCCCGGGUCGUUGACCGCGCCGAACUGCAAAGGCCGUUGGUGAGUGCGGAGGCCGCGCGCGCGACAUUUAGCUGGCCAGAGUCGCGCCCGCGCACCCGUAUUGCACAUCGCGCCAACCCACUGUUGCUGGCCACCUGUGUUUAUACUUUUAACCGUUAAUCAUAAUAUCAUAAUAAAAGGGAAAGUUAUAGAAUC